rnacentral:rRNA from 1 species
CCUACGCGAGGCAGCAGUGGGGAAUAUUGCACAAUGGGGGAAACCCUGAUGCAGCGACGCCGCGUGAGUGAAGAAGUAAUUCGUUAUGUAAAGCUCUAUCAGCAGGGAAGAAAAUGACGGUACCUGAGUAAGAAGCCCCGGCUAACUACGUGCCAGCAGCCGCGGUAAUACGUAGGGGGCAAGCGAUAUCCGGAUUUACUGGGUGUAAAGGGAGCGUAGACGGCAGUGCAAGUCUGGAGUGAAAGGCCGGGGCUAAACCCCCGGACUGCUCUGGAAACUGUACGGCUGGAGUGCAGGAGAGGUAAGUGGAAUUCCUAGUGUAGCGGUGAAAUGCGUAGCUAUUAGGAGGAACACCAGUGGCGAAGGCGGCUUACUGAACUGUAACUGACGUUGAGGCUCGAAAGCGUGGGGAGCAAACAGGAUUAGAUACCCUUGUAGUC